rnacentral:rRNA from 1 species
AUUGAACGCUGGCGGCAUGCCUUACACAUGCAAGUCGAACGGUAACAGGUCUUCGGAUGCUGACGAGUGGCGAACGGGUGAGUAAUACAUCGGAACGUGCCCGAUCGUGGGGGAUAACGAAGCGAAAGCUUUGCUAAUACCGCAUAAGAUCUACGGAUGAGAGCAGGGGACCGCAAGGCCUUGUGCGAACGGAGCGGCCGAUGGCAGAUUAGGUAGUUGGUGGGAUAAAAGCUUACCAAGCCGACGAUCUGUAGCUGGUCUGAGAGGACGACCAGCCACACUGGGACUGAGACACGGCCCAGACUCCUACGGGAGGCAGCAGUGGGGAAUUUUGGACAAUGGGCGAAAGCCUGAUCCAGCCAUGCCGCGUGCAGGAUGAAGGCCUUCGGGUUGUAAACUGCUUUUGUACGGAACGAAAAGACUCUUUCUAAUAAAGAGGGUCCAUGACGGUACCGUAAGAAUAAGCACCGGCUAACUACGUGCCAGCAGCCGCCGUAA